rnacentral:rRNA from 1 species
GAUGAACGCUGGCGGCGUGCCUAAUACAUGCAAGUAGAACGCUGAAGGAAGGAGCUUGCUCUUUCCGGAUGAGUUGCGAACGGGUGAGUAACGCGUAGGUAGCCUGCCUGGUAGCGGGGGAUAACUAUUGGAAACGAUAGCUAAUACCGCAUAACAGUAGAUGUUGCAUGAUAUCUACUUAAAAGGUGCAAUUGCACCACUACCAGAUGGACCUGCGUUGUAUUAGCUAGUUGGUGAGGUAACGGCUCACCAAGGCGACGAUACAUAGCCGACCUGAGAGGGUGAUCGGCCACACUGGGACUGAGACACGGCCCAGACUCCUACGGGAGGCAGCAGUAGGGAAUCUUCGGCAAUGGACGGAAGUCUGACCGAGCAACGCCGCGUGAGUGAAGAAGGUUUUCGGAUCGUAAAGCUCUGUUGUAAGAGAAGAACGAGUGUGAGAGUGGAAAGUUCACACUGUGACGGUAUCUUACCAGAAAGGGACGGCUAACUACGUG